rnacentral:misc_RNA from 1 species
GAAAUGCGAUAAGUAAUGUGAAUUGCAGAAUUCAGUGAAUCAUCGAAUCUUUGAACGCACCUUGCGCCCUUUGGCCAUUCCAAGGAGCAUGCCUGUUUGAGUGUCAUUGAAUCCUCAAGGGCCCCCCCCUCGGCGGGGGGGAAACUUGGACUUGGGAGCGCUGCGGCGCCGGGCUCUCUCCGGCUCCGCUCUCCUCAAAGGCAUCAGUAGGGCCCCUCGUCCCUUCGGGUCUUCGCGGCGUUGAUAGUCGUCUACGCCCCCUGCCCCCGUCGGGUCUCACCUGCUCCUGAACACACCCCCGACCGACCGACGGUCGUCUUCCUUUGACCUCAAAUCAGGUAGGACUACCCGCUGAACUUAAGC